GUUCUCACUUUGGCGGCACAUACACCAAAAUAGGAACCAUACAAAGAAAAUUAGCAAGGUGCCUGCCCGAGGAUGACACACAAAUUUGUGAAGUGUUCCCUAUUUUU